rnacentral:lncRNA from 1 species
CAGGUAUCCGUCCACUAUAAUGAAAGAUAACGAAACCCUAUAAAGCAGACCACAAAAAUUAAACAAAACCCAAAAACUAAACAGUAAAAAAUAAAAAUAAAAAAGAACUGCAAAUAUUCUAUAAAUCGUAAUAUGAACUGCAACCCAUCAAUCAUCCCUCAAAAUAAACUGCAAAUCACAAAAUGACCUACCCCAAAUCGGCUGGAGAACUCACCAGGAAACCAAGGCUUUUCUGGGCUUAAAAUUUCCUUCGAAUUGGGAUCAAAUUCACGGUUUUUGAGCAAGAGGUCCAUGUGCUUCGUAGUUUCUGAGAGAGAGAAUCGAAGAGAUUUCUAACGGCUUGGUGGUUUUUGAGCAACACAGUGCUGUAGUUAGUGAUUUCGGUGCACAGAUGGAUAACUUCCGUGGGAAAAUAUCAAACCCAAACAGAAGUCCUCUGAAACUCCAAUUUCAAUAUAAUCAAACACAAACAAAAUACCAAACUCAACUCCGAUUAAGUUGUUGAUGGCUUUGAGUUCUAAAACAAAACGAAUGCUAUCAACAUUUGCUUACAACCCUAAUUACCAAAUUCUUCAAGCUGCCUAAUCAAAAUCUAAGAUUAUCGCUACAAUGAACAUAGAAACACUAAUUACACAUAAACAUCGCAUAAAAAGCAUAAAUAAAAAAAUCCACAACAUCAGCAGAGAUAACGAAAAUGAUAAAAACUCUAAAAAAAUUUAAACAAAAUUUAAAAACUUUAACUCACAGGAAGCU